CAUUCUAGGUACACUUUCCAGUACAUCUACUAUGUUACGACUUAUCUUACCUUAAUAAUAAGAGUGACGGGCGAUGUGUGCAUAUUUUAGAGCUAAAAUCAAAUUAUUAAUCUUUAUAAUUUUACUAUCAAAUCCACUUUCAAUAAAUUUUUCAAAUUUAUAUCCAUUUAAAUAAUUUUAUUGUAACCCAUCUAUACUUAAAUAUAAGCUACACCUUGAUCUGAUAUAUUUUCUUUUUAAAAAUCUUGAAAAUUAACUUUCUUAUAAAAUAUUCUAAUAACGACGGUAUAUAAACUGAAUACAAACUUAAGUAAGGUCCAUCGUGGAUUAUCGAUUAAAAGACAGGUUCCUCUGAAUAGACUAAAAUACCGCCAAAUUUUUUAAGUUUCAAGAACAUAACUAUUACUACCUUAGUUUUAUAAAAUACAUUUUAAAUAAUAGGGUAUCUAAUCCUAGUUUAUUAAUAAAAUUUCUAAGCUUUAAUUAUUUUAUUUAAAAUUAUUAUAAAUUUAAAAUUUCACCUAAUAAAUUUACUUUUAUUUCAUAAAAAAUUAAUUUAACUCAAACUAAAAAAGUUUAUUUGUAUUAUUCGUAUAACCGCGGCUGCUAAGUUAAAUUAAUAGAUAUCUAUUAAUAUAUAAAUAUUUAAUUAAUUAAUAGAUAUCUAUUAAUUAAGAUAAAAAAAAAAUUUCAGAUUCAAUUAAGGAGACAUUCAUAAGUAAAUUCUUAAUAUAUAAUAAUUAAUCUAAUUAUUCAGCAGAAAUGGAUAUAUAUUAUUAAAAAUA
rnacentral:rRNA from 1 species